UGAGCGGUUGGUGUAGUGGCAACACAUCGGUCUUCGGAACCGUUGUCGGGAGUUCGAUCCUCUCACCGCUUGU
rnacentral:tRNA from 1 species